GCGCUAUUAGCUCAGUUGGUUAGAGCACCUGACUCUUAAUCAGGGUGCCCAGGGUUCGAGUCCCUGAUAGCGCACCA
rnacentral:tRNA from 1 species